rnacentral:rRNA from 1 species
UACGUAGGGUGCAAGCGUUGUCCGGAAUUAUUGGGCGUAAAGAGCUCGUAGGCGGUCUGUCGCGUCGGCUGUGAAAACUCGGGGCUCAACUCCGAGCUUGCGGUGGGUACGGGCAGACUAGAGUGUGGUAGGGGAGACUGGAAUUCCUGGUGUAGCGGUGAAAUGCGCAGAUAUCAGGAGGAACACCGGUGGCGAAGGCGGGUCUCUGGGCAGUAACUGACGCUGAGGAGCGAAAGCGUGGGGAGCAAACAGG